GACAGAGGGUGCAAACGUUGUUCGGAAUUACUGGGCGUAAAGCGCGUGUAGGCGGCCCUGCAAGUCGGGCGUGAAAUCCCACGGCUCAACCGUGGAAGUGCACUCGAAACUGCAGGGCUAGAGUCCUGGAGAGGAAGGCGGAAUGCUUGGUGUAGAGGUGAAAUUCGUAGAUAUCAAGCGGAACACCGGUGGCGAAGGCGGCCUUCUGGACAGUGACUGACGCUGAGACGCGAAAGCGUGGGGAGCAAACAGG
rnacentral:rRNA from 1 species